AUCAGAAUGAGAUGGGAAAUCCCAUCCACAACACAGAGCCUGCCUUUGUGAGUGUCAGGCCUGCUUCGUCUUUAAAGGUCUUCUGAAGGACUGCCAGAGAAGCGAUGUACUGAAGAUUUAUUUAGUGUCAGACAGAAAUAUAACAUCCUCUAUAGCUGGUGACGCAUCCAGCCAUCAAUCAGUCAGACGCCGGGCUGUGAUUCGUGCAGACUGUGGAGUGGGAGGGAUUUGGCAACAGGGAGCCCAUUCUUAAACAUAAUCAGUAAGAUAUGAAACUGUCUGUGCUCGCUCCACCGCUGCUGUUUCUGGACGCUGCGAAUGCCAAUGGCUUUGAAAGGGCGGCCAAGUGCCAGCUGCAACUUUGAAUGGUGUUGUGAUAUUGUAUGCGUUCUCUGGAAUCGAAAUGGAUAAAAAUGAUCAGGAUUUGGAAAUCCCGUUUUUUUGCUAUCCAGGAUCAGAUUUCUUUCAGAAGGCUUCGAACUGCUGGAACAUGCCAUUAGCUGUGAUGUACGUCAAAGAGAAGCACAGUCUGUUGUGAAGGAAUACUUCACCGCUGCCCGGACAGCUGCAUUAAGAGAC